rnacentral:lncRNA from 1 species
AGUAUUGGCAACUACCCAAACUAGUAGUGAGCAACAGCUGCCAUUGUCUCCUUGGCUGCUUGCUUGGGUCGAAUUGAUAAACAGUAGCCUUAUGAAAAAAAUCAGUUUAGUAGUUUUACCUGUAUAGUCUACAGUUAAUAUACCAAACUUACUUGGAGAGAAUACAGUGAGACAAGACUGUACUUGAGAUUCAUUCCUGACUUCUCUCUGUAGCCUCCUAGGAUUAUUUUUUAAAAAUUUUUAUUCCCGUGUCCCUUCACUCUGCCCUCAACAUAAACUGAACUUCUGUUUGUGAACUGAAGUGUGGAGGUGUAGAUUUUGAAAUAUGUUGGCUAUUGUUGGCAAAUACUUCUACUACUACUUACACUAUUGCUUGCUUCUAACUAGUUUCUAGGUAUGCACUAACUGGUUGCAACAGCGCACUUGAUAGAAACUGUGUCAACACGAGUCUGCAGCUUGGAUGUAGGCUUGAAGUAGUAUGUGACAUAAAAAGCAUCUCUUGAAUUUAACCGUUCUAAUGGCUCUGUUGGUUUGGGGUUUUUUGUCCUCAUUACUCUUAACUCUGUGAUUAUCACUGCCAUCCAUUUUAUCAUACUUGAACAGCAAAAGUUCUAACUAUGUGUUACUUUUUUCCUGCACAGAUAAAGGAAAAAUAAAUAAUCCAAAGGAAGAAUUAGCUCUUAGUGCUGAAGAUGGUCCGAAACCUGAUCAGCAUCAAGAGGGGAAUGAAAACGCAGCAGGAAGUGAGUAAUAGGAUUCUUCCAGCAGACAAUGGAGAGAUUUCUCCACCUAUGUUUAAACUAAUACGUUAAAAAUCCUAUUUUAUUUAACAACUAAUAAGUUAUACAUCUGGACUAGAUACUUGCUCAGCAAGGAAACUGCAUCUAACUGCAUACUGAUAACAACUGGUAUGUUGAGCACUAUUUGAGCUUCAACAGCAAAAGCUUUGCAAAAGCUUAACUCGUGCCUUGCAAACAGUCCCGUUGUGUGUGCAGAGUUUCAUUUGAGGCAACAGAUACAUGUCCCUGUAGCUGGCUGUUUGUUGCCAAAUAAUUGUCAUACAAUAUUCAUUAUUGGUGCAUUUUACAAUGUGUAUUGAGUCCAAAGAGAUAGAGCUGUAGUGCAUUAUUAAAUAUAAGUGGGGUUAGAGCAUGGAAAAUUCUGAGAAUUGUGGGCUUCCUGCAAACUGGAUUUUUUGCAAGGCUAGCUUGUGCAAUUAAGCUCUGUACAGUGAAAGAGCACAGAAGAUUACUUCAGUAGAGGUAUACAAAAGUUGAAGAGAUGGGCUGCAAAGUAGUGCAUCGUUAAUGAUAUGCAUCUUAUAAUUAACUAGGAAUAGUUAAAACUUCCUUGUUCUGGUGUAAGAAUUGUUUGAUUUACACAGAUGUUUCUAUUGCAAUUAAUUAGACUGAGUAGAUAAAAGAACAGGGUUUGGCUUGUACCUUAUGAUGACUUCAAUGUCAAUGAU